CCUACGGGAGGCAGCAGUGGGGAAUUUUGCGCAAUGCUCGUAAGAGUGACGCAGUGACGCCGCGUGAAUGACGAAGGCCUUCGGGUCGUAAAGUUCUUUCGACAGGGAAGAAAAUGUCUAUAAGUAACUGUGUAUGUAUUGACGGUACCUGUAUAAGCAGCCCCGGCUAACUCCGUGCCAGCAGCCGCGGUAAUACGGAGGGGGCGAGCGUUGUUCGGAGGGACUGGGCGUAAAGAGCACGUAGGCGGUGUUGUAAGUCAUUAGUCAAAGACUAGAGCUCAACUUUAGUAAGGCUAGUGAUACUAUAAUACUAGAGUAUCAGAGAGGAUUGCAGAAUUCCUGGUGUAGCGGUGAAAUGCGUAGAUAUCAGGAGGAAUACCGUUAGCGAAGGCGGCAAUCUGGCUGGAAACUGACGCUGAGGUGCGAAAGCGUGGGUAGCAAACAGGAUUAGAUACCCUAGUAGUC
rnacentral:rRNA from 1 species